AAAGGGAGACCUAAUUCAGGUAUGGGACGAAAAAAAAGUAGUCCCAACCAAGAAUCAAUCCCAAAAGGUCGGAGCGAGGCGAAAUUGGCUUUCAAACUAGGUUCUGGGUUCACACAAGACCUGAAUCAGGAACAAGGGCUAUUAGCUCAGGUGGUUAGAGCGCACCCCUGAUAAGGGUGAGGUCCCUGGUUCGAGUCCAGGAUGGCCCACCUGCACAGGUGGCAAAAACAAGAGAAGCUCCGAAUCAGCACCUUAUCUUACUUAUAUAGUAAGAGAGAAUGCUGGCCCUGAGUUCAGAGUCCAGAGGAACCUUGAAAACUGCAUAGAGCUAGGUGAAAAAGCCAAAAAAGAAGACCGCAAG
rnacentral:tRNA from 1 species